UGGGAUAACCCCGGGAAACCGGGGCUAAUACCGAAUAUGACCUUGCACCGCAUGGUGUUUGGUGGAAAGUUUUUCGGCUUGGGAUGGGCUCGCGGCCUAUCAGCUUGUUGGUGGGGUGAUGGCCUACCAAGGCGACGACGGGUAGCCGGCCUGAGAGGGCGACCGGCCACACUGGGACUGAGACACGGCCCAGACUCCUACGGGAGGCAGCAGUGGGGAAUAUUGCACAAUGGGCGGAAGCCUGAUGCAGCGACGCCGCGUGAGGGAUGACGGCCUUCGGGUUGUAAACCUCUUUCAGCAGGGACGAAGCGUAAGUGACGGUACCUGCAGAAGAAGCGCCGGCCAACUACGUGCCAGCAGCCGCGGUAAGACGUAGGGCGCGAGCGUUGUCCGGAUUUAUUGGGCGUAAAGAGCUCGUAGGCGGCUUGUCGCGUCGACUGUGAAAACCCGCAGCUCAACUGCGGGCCUGCAGUCGAUACGGGCAGGCUAGAGUUCGGUAGGGGAGACUGGAAUUCCUGGUGUAGCGGUGAAAUGCGCAGAUAUCAGGAGGAACACCGGUGGCGAAGGCGGGUCUCUGGGCCGAUACUGACGCUGAGGAGCGAAAGCGUGGGGAGCGAACAGGAUUAGAUACCCUGGUAGUCCACGCUGUAAACGUUGGGCGCUAGGUGUGGGGGGCCUCUCCGGUUCCCUGUGCCGCAGCUAACGCAUUAAGCGCCCCGCCUGGGGAGUACGGCCGCAAGGCUAAAACUC
rnacentral:rRNA from 1 species